UUCCUCACCAGUUCUGACGCCUGCUCCUCUUGAGGGCUCUGCUAAGACUGUGGAAGCAACAGAAGCGGGACGGGGUGGCUGUAGCAUGCGUGUUUUCCUGCAUAGCAUCCAGCAGCGGACUUCCUAAGAGAGAUGGAGGUUCUUGGAGUCACUGGGUUCCUGCAGCGGGGUCCUCUAAUGAGUCUUGAUCUGCAGUUGGAAAAAUACUGCAAUGUAUCUGCCUCUCCAGCCAUUGGGUUGAUGCUAAAUAACUUGCCCCGGGGAGCUAACCGCAGGUGAGACUCUGCUGCAAGAGGCGUCUUCCGGAGGUCAGUUUCUCUUUGGUCUCAGGGAAACAGCCUGAUGUGGCAACACAGGAACCGACAGCAAAACAAGUGUGCAUGAGCCCCCGGCCACGGGCAAGACUCAGUGGGAGAGGCUUGGAUCAUAUGGGUGUUAGCAGAGCCCACCCUUCUCGGACACCACCACAAAGAAUUAUCAGAUCAAAUCUAAUUUGGGUGAGCAGGGAAAAGGCAAAAACAGGAAACUCUGUGGAGUCUUGCCAAACGUGUCAGUAGGAGGAAGAGUCCACAAACUGUCUGCCAGCCUUUCAGAGGGAAGUUAAGAGUCAGAAAUGAAACAAAACAAUGCCUGUCCAUACAGACUCCAGAAUACUCCCUAAUGUGGUAUAGAGGUUUACGAAAGUCAUCCAACACGUGUUGCUUGCGGCAUCCUUGGACUUCAACUGAAGUCCUCUUCUGUCUCCUCUUUCCGCUCCCCUGCGCACAGAUGUGCCUGCUAAUGUUAGAGGUGGACCCGUCUGUGCUGCCUUACACAGGAACUUGGAAAAGAACAAGAUUGUGGCUCCCGGAAUAGACCAUGAAAAUGACCACCAUCAGAGUCCACAGAGGGACUGGGGAUUGAACCCAGGACCUCGUGAACGCUAGGCACGCACGGUACCACUGAGCGAUCCCCUGCCUCCGCCCCGCUCCUUGCUAUGGUUACUUCUGUUCAUAGGGCAACGGCAGGAGAGAGAUUCCUGCAAUGAAGACGUCAAAGGAUCCACAAAGUGCCUCGACAGAGAGUCAGAGUGAAAUACGUACCUGCUGUACCCAGAGAAAAGUGAUGGUAGUUCAUCACUGCUGGCCGAGUGAGGUCUUUCCUGAGUCCUACCUCUUCCCUGUUUCCUUACUCCAGUCUUCUGGGGACCAGAACCUGCAGCCGCCAAGUCUGGGGGUGGGACUAGAGAGGGCGGGGCGGUCAGCAGAGCCGAGGGAAGCCAAGCGCGGUCCCCUCCUCAGCCGGGCUUCCCGCCUGGAGCUGCCCAGAGCCCGGGGAGGGGGGAAGAUGCAACCCUAAAUAGAAGCUGGACAUUUGAAUAUUGGAAAUGAUGCUGUUGGUGAAACUUAGAGUGACCAGAGGGUUUCUUAUUAUUUAAGAUCAUUCAGAAGAGCCAUGGACCUCGUCUAGAUUCAUCUGAAAGCUAUAGAAGAACUAGCCCCCGAGAGCAGGUUUGAAGGGCAGCUGGUGCUGGAGGAAGGGCGGAUGGUUUGCACCUCUGCGUGAUUAACACAGACCUUCCCAGAACAGUUCCAGGGGAGUAGCGGCCGCAGAAGCAGAAGCCAAACGACAGUGGGUUAGACUGAACUAGGAACUGAGAAUGUAAAUACUGCAAACAGAGAUGCAUGUUCGAGAAGUGUGUCUAUGAACAGGAGAAGAGAGAGAAGGCAGUAGCUGGAGGAUUAUGCAUGAUAGAGGUUUUUUUUGUUUUUGUUUUUGUUUUUAAUAAAUGGGAGAGAAAUUAGAGUUUGUGUAAAAACUAGUGGAAAGAAGCCAGCAGAAAGGAUGCUGACCAACGUGCGGUCCCUGAGCAGACCAGAGGGGCAGGACUGGGCGCAGCGUCCGCCUCAGACAGGAGGAGUGGAUGCCUCUUCUGUCACAAUAGGAAGGAGAGGAAAAGGGCAGGCAUGAGACAGGCAAGACGCGGAAGGAAUCUUCAUCUGGCGACUUCUCCGUGUCUUCUGUGAAGCAGGAUGUGAAGGCAAAGCUGAGGGUUCACCACUGUGAGGAGGAUGGAGAAGGUUUGGAAGAGCCACUUCACUUCGCUGUGGAGCAACACUGAUGGCCCCGCUGUACUGAGAAUUCUGCUGAGGCUGGAAAACAGGACUAAUCGAAGAUUCACCCCGACUAUCUGCUAGAACCCUGGGCAAGACCCAACUUCAGCAGCCAUCGCGGCAGAGUCUUCGCAGUUUGGGAAUGUCUCUGUGAAAACGGAACACUGUGGUGGCCACUCUGAUUCAGAGAAAUUGCUGGUCUUCGAGAGCCUCUGUCCCACAUGAAUCCACCAUCUCUGUUGUUUUGGGAUGUGUUUUUAAUGGAUGGUGGCCCAAGGAAGCCUACAACCUGAGCCUGUGAAAAAGACACGAGAGAUUUAUCACCUGGUUACAGGCGGUAAGACACUGUGACUGAUGUUUUCGUAGUUUUUGCCACUGGGGGUAGGGCUGUCCUCCGUCUCGUCUUUCCAAAAGUCAAUGACAAAGAAUUUUAAGGAAAUAGACAAUGACGCACAGGCCCCCUGCUCUCUAAUCUACUGACAGACUGAUCUAUUGAAGCCAGAUAAGGACUGUAACAGGGUGGAGGUGAGGGCGUGUGAAAUGUGAAGAAUAGAGAGGAAUAAAUAUGUCACACUAUUUUCCAAACGCACCGUCUCUGGUAAAGUUCUAAUAGGCCAAAUUAGAUUUCACAGAGAAUAUGACAGAGUAUUUUAAAAUGGCAUUGUCCAAAAAGAUGUGAGUCAUCUCUUUUAUUCUCCAUGGUCUCCCCAUCACCUAGCACUGGGCCUGGUCCAGAUGCUGGGGAGAUAACUGUGUAAUGAGUGAAUGAAUGGUGCUCCAGGGUGGGGAGCUGACCUGCUCAUCUCAGGGUACCUGCCUCUGUGCUGCCCUAGGUGUCCACACGCGCACGUGCAAACACACACACACACACACACACACACACACACACACACUCGUGAAAGUCUGCUUUUCUCCUCUAAUAUAUACAUGGGAGUUUGCAUGUUGGAGAAAAAUUAGCAUUCUUGCUGGGGAGAAUUUCUUAGCCUGAUGACAAUGAAAUGAAUAAAAGGUAUAUGUUGAGUUGAGGCAGGGGAGAGUGGAUUCGGUGCAAGGACUGUAGAUACAGUGAGGCAGGCAGGAGAGUUGGGAGCUUUAGGGGUUUGUAAAUCAGCUGAAAAUAAUUUUGCCCCGUGGUUACUCUCAUUUGUCCGUGCUGAUUUGGAUGGUGAGCAGCUGAUAUGAACCUACGGGCGUGGUGACUGCUAUCAGUAAGAUGCAAACAGGAAUUCUCCCUGCAAGAAAAUACAAGAAAUACAGCCCUUACUAGCUGGAGAAGCCUUGGCAAACAAAUUCAAUGACUCAUCCUGUGCUCUCGGGCUGUUUUGUCUUUGCUGGGAUCCUUGGCGUACAACUACUGAAGGGUUUUUCUUAAACUUUACUUCCUUUUGUUUUAAAUGGAAUCCGGACCCAGCACUAAUUGUCAUCGAUGCUCCAAUCUUUGAAAAAUUCAUCACCUCACCUGUCUGUAAUGAGUUUUUUUUUUUCUAUUAACUUGUUCUUUUUUUUUUACAUUCUAAACUAAUGGCCAAGCUGAAAUGAUAAGCCCCGCUCUUCUGCCAUAGGAAAAAAGCAGUAAGUGAAUAUUAGUCACGUACUGUCUCUGAAUUACAGCGGAAGGCAGUGCAAGAUGGAACUGCAUGAGCACGUUUAGCGCCUGAAGACUCCUGGGCACCGUCUGGGCUCCCCAGCGGGUGGUACACCUUGUUGCUGUUGAGGGUGGUACAUGGGAAGAGGUUUGCAGGAUUUGCCACUUGGGAUGGUUUGCACAAGUCAACUUGGUUAACCCAGAAGCAUGUUUCACAGAACUCUCUCUAUAUGGUUCUGGGUUAGAGUUGCCCAAAAGAGAAAUUUGCAUGAGACUUAGAAGGCCGAAGUGAAGCAGGAUGAAGACCUCUGAAGGUCAUCGUGAUUCAAUGUGACAGAUAGAGACAGAUUGGUAGAUUCCAGUUUGUCCGUGCUGUCACUAGCUCCACAUUCUGCUCUUCUUCCAAUCCUGACCCUGCUGACCAGCAGCAGCUCCGGGGUCCAGGCCCAGCACCAGACCCUUGGCAGUGGCAGGUCAGUGUCCCAUGGACCUCCCACGAGCUUCCCUUUGUGGUUUCUCUUCAGCUGUAGGACACGCUUAGCUAAGUGAUUGGCUCUAUCUCUGAUCCUUAACUCCCCACCUGGGCCUUCACUUUCUCUGUUCCUCCCGUAAUCAUGUGAGAUCUAACUUUUAUAAUAACCCCUUUGUCUAUAGUACAGAGUGGUUCCCCUUCCCUGUUUGAAUCCUGAGAUACCUGGCGGGAGGAGAUUACUAAUUACUAGAGAGCUCCUGUUGGGAAAGGCAUUACCACUCUAGAGGCAGAGAUAACUGGGUACCAGUCUCAGUUCCACCACUACCAGCAAGUUGAUCUUAACCAAGAUAUUUAAUCUUUCGAGCUUUAUGUUCUGGUAAAAUGGAGCCAAUAACAUUAGCUACCUCACGGGGUCAUUAGGAGGUUUAAAUGACAUAUUGCAUCACUUAGCCUAGUAAAUGCUCAGCAAAUGUUAGUAUUAUUGAAAGAGCUUGAUAGCUGAAGGGAGCCUAGUAUUAGGGCUUAAAACAUGUGGAGAGAAGCAAAUGAUUGAGCGUAGGUGCUUUAGGACUUAGGGAGAGCUGAGGUUGGAGGGACAGAUAUGAACUGGCAAUAGGGAGGCAAGAGGGAAGGGAUGAACAGUUCAGGAUUAAAGCUGUAAACAGUGAGGGUCUAGACAUCAGGGGCAGACUCUGAAACUGCAGUUCACAAAGGGCACUGCCCACCCUCUGCCUAAGGUCCCACUUGCUAGGUGGGGAGGCCAGGUCUCCCUGGGCUCACUGUGUGCAAAGCUGCUCUGUAGGGUCUGAGGGAUUUCCUGGGUCCCUCUGCUGGUGCACAGCCCUUACUCUGCUUCAGAUACUGAAGUGAGCUUUUGUGGCACCAGAAGAAACUCAGGAUGGCCUGAAUCCACUUUGGUCCCCUCCUGGAGCGACAGAGUAGCCACGGGCGGGGGAAGGAGGAGUUAGGCCACACAGAACCUCGCUCCUCAACCUCAGUAAAAAAAUCCUUCUUUGACAGGCUAUUCUCCUACCUACCAAAAAUGCCAACUGUUGGUGAGGACAUGGAGAAGCUAGAUAUGCUGCUGGUGGGCAUGUAAAAUGGUAGAGCCAUUUUGGAAAACAUAUACACAAAGCCUUGUACACAAAUGCAAGUUUAUCCAUCACGAUCACAACCUGGAAACAACCCACAUGUUCAUCUACAGGUGAACAGAUAGAUAAAAGAAGCUGUGGUGUGUCCAUACAAUAGAAUAUUAUUCAGUAAAAAAAAAAAAAAAAAAAAAGAACAAACAACAGGUAUAUACAACGACAUGGAUGAGGGAAAUUCAUCAAACACAGAAAAGGGCAAACUGUGUGACUCCUUCAUGGGAAAUUCCAGAAUAGGUGAAAAAAUGAUAGAAGCCAGAUCGGUGAUUGCCUGGGACCCAAGACACGGGGCCGUAAAAAGGAAUGAAGGAACUUCAUGGAGCAAUGGAAGUGUGUUAUAUCUUGAUUGUCGUAGUGGUUACAUGAUGUAUCUGUUGUUAAAACUUAUCUAACUCCAUCCCAUAAAUGAAUGCAUUUUGUUCUAUAUAAACUACACCUUGAUAAAUUCAUUAAUAUUUUUCCUUGGAAGGAUAAGACCUGCCCUCCUGAGGAGACAAAAUUGCUUCCAGGAAUUUCUUCCUGUCUAGCAGGAAGUGCUCCGGCUGCCAUUGAGUUUCAUUUCCUCUUACCCGGCCCUCAGUGGGGAUGAAUAAUAACUCUUCAACACCCUUCAAGUUCUUCAAGGCACUUAGCCAAGAAUGAACCGAGCCCUGAAAACUAGCCCUUCGGAAGGCUUCCCUAAGCUGUAACUUCUCCCUGCAAAUAUACCCAUUCUCCUUAUUGUGAAGAGCUCUAAAUUGUUCUCAUUUGGAGAAGUGACCAAGGCAAGAGAAAAGCUUGAACUGCAGAUCCAGAGGGAAUUCUGAUGAACUCAUUCUAAUGUGUUCCGCCUUCCUCCAAGCUGGAACUCACUUCAGUCAGGCAAUUAAAAAUGUUUAUGAUGUUC